UGCGUAGGCGGUUUAUUAAGUCAGAUGUGAAAGCCCCGGGCUUAACCUGGGAACUGCAUUUGAUACUGGUAGACUAGAGUAUGGUAGAGGGGGUAGAAUUCCUAGUGUAGCGGUGAAAUGCGUAGAUAUUAGGAGGAAUACCAGUGGCGAAGGCGGCCCCCUGGACCAAUACUGACGCUGAGGUACGAAAGCGUGGGUAGCGAACA
rnacentral:rRNA from 1 species